rnacentral:rRNA from 1 species
GACGUAGGGCGCGAGCGUUGUCCGGAUUUAUUGGGCGUAAAGAGCUCGUAGGCGGCUUGUUGCGUCAGCUGUGAAAACCCGCAGCUCAACUGUGGGCUUGCAGCUGAUACGGGCAGGCUUGAGUUCGGUAGGGGAGACUGGAAUUCCUGGUGUAGCGGUGAAAUGCGCAGAUAUCAGGAAGAACACCUAUGGCGAAGGCAGCUCUCGUGGGACGGUACUGACGCUGAGGAGCGAAAGCGUGGGGAGCGAACAGG